rnacentral:rRNA from 1 species
GUGAGGAAUAUUGGUCAAUGGCCGGAAGGCUGAACCAGCCAUCCCGCGUGCAGGAAGACGGCCCUAUGGGUUGUAAACUGCUUUUGUGGAAGAAUAAUAUGCCUUAUGUAUAAGGUAUUGAAGGUAUUUUACGAAUAAGCAUCGGCUAACUCCGUGCCAGCAGCCGCGGUAAUACGGAGGAUGCAAGCGUUAUCCGGAUUCAUUGGGUUUAAAGGGUGCGCAGGCGGGCUUAUAAGUCAGUGGUGAAAUGCUGCCGCUUAACGGUAGAAUUGCCAUUGAUACUGUAGGUCUUGAGUAUGGUUGAGGUAGGUGGAAUGUGCAGUGUAGCGGUGAAAUGCAUAGAUAUUGUACAGAACGCCGAUUGCGGAGGCAGCUUACUAAGCCAUUACUGACGCUGAGGCACGAAAGCGUGGGGAUCAAACAGGAUUAGAUACCCCAGUAGUCC